rnacentral:rRNA from 1 species
AUGCGAAAACAGGACACAAAUCAUACUAGGAGGAAGAACCAUCAAGUUCCAAUGCGCUUAUUUGGUCAAGAACCUCCGCUGCCUGGUGAUGAUUCAUGGCUUCCACCACCUGGCCGGGACACCGUUGCCAGUUUGGUGGUCUCAUCAAUCGCUGGCUUCUUCAGAGCUUCGUUCUCUCUCUUCAGCAACAUGUUUUCUUCUUUAAGUACCCUAAUCUCUUCACGCAGCCUAUCAUACGAAGGCAAUAGGCUAGGAGGUAUGGAAGUUAAUGGCUCAGUUCUUGCUAUCCUGUAUGUGAGAAGGAAGCACAUGCAUAUAGUGUUUUUGUCAGACCAUAUAGGAAAAAGCAAGGAUUGUGUUUUUGCAUGUAUGAAUAGCAAUGUAGGGAUACCAAACUGGAAAAAGCAAGGAUUGUGUUUUUGCAAGUAUGAGUAG